rnacentral:rRNA from 1 species
UACGUAGGGGGCAAGCGUUAUCCGGAUUUACUGGGUGUAAAGGGAGCGUAGGCGGCUUAGUAAGUCAGAAGUGAAAGCCCGCAGCUCAACUGCGGGACUGCUUUUGAAACUGCCAGGCUAGAGUGUCGGAGAGGUAAGUGGAAUUCCUAGUGUAGCGGUGAAAUGCUUAGAUAUCAUGAAGAACUCCGAUCGCGAAGGCAAGUGUCCGGGGUGCAACUGACGCUGAGGCUCGAAAGUGCGGGUAUCAAACAGG